AACGAACGCUGGCGGCAGGCUUAACACAUGCAAGUCGAACGCUCCGCAAGGGGAGUGGCAGACGGGUGAGUAACGCGUGGGAAUCUACCCAGUUCUACGGAAUAACCCAGGGAAACUUGGACUAAUACCGUAUACGCCCUACGGGGUAAAGAUUUAUCGGAAUUGGAUGAGCCCGCGUUGGAUUAGCUAGUUGGUGGGGUAAUGGCCUACCAAGGCGACGAUCCAUAGCUGGUCUGAGAGGAUGAUCAGCCACACUGGGACUGAGACACGGACCAGACUCCUACAGGAGGCAGCAGUGGGAAAUAUUUGACAAUGGGCGCAAGCCUGAUCCAGCCAUGCCGCGUGAGUUAUGAAGGCCUUAGGGUUGUAAAGCUCUUUCAGUGGGGAAGAUAAUGACGGUACCCACAGAAGAAGCCCCGGCUAACUUCGUGCCAGCCGCCGCAGUAACAC
rnacentral:rRNA from 1 species